UAAUAUAUUAGAAAAAUAUGAAAGUUAUUGCAUCAAAUGGAAAUUGGUUAAACUUAAAAAAUGUGUACCCUAAAUUUUGUAAGUCACAAAGAGCAAGUCAAUGUUAGAGGGACACACCCUUUCUCUGAAUUACUGUGCGUCGCUAAUAUUUAAGGUGAAGGGAUACAAGGGACACAUGCCCUCAAUUCGAUAUGCACGGCUAGUAUAUGUUCUAACCUAUUAUAAUAUAAUUUGUAUUUUAUUUA